rnacentral:rRNA from 1 species
GACGAACGCUGGCGGCGUGCCUAAUACAUGCAAGUAGAACGCACAGUUUAUACCGUAGCUUGCUACACCAUAGACUGUGAGUUGCGAACGGGUGAGUAACGCGUAGGUAACCUGCCUGGUAGCGGGGGAUAACUAUUGGAAACGAUAGCUAAUACUGCAUAAUAUUAAUUAUUGCAUGAUAAUUAAUUGAAAGGUGCAAUUGCACCACUACCAGAUGGACCUGCGUUGUAUUAGCUAGUAGGUGAGGUAACGGCUCACCUAGGCGACGAUACAUAGCCGACCUGAGAGGGUGAUCCGCCACACUGGGACUGAGACACGGCCCAGACUCCUACGGGAGGCAGCAGUAGGGAAUCUUCGGCAAUGGACGAAAGUCUGACCGAGCAACGCCGCGUGAGUGAAGAAGGGUUUCGGAUCGUAAAGCUCUGUUGUAAGAGAAGAACGGGUGUGAGAGUGGAAAGUUCACACUGUGACGGUAUCUUACCAGAAAGGGACGGCUAACUACGUG